rnacentral:rRNA from 1 species
UACAGAGGUCUCAAGCGUUGUUCGGAUUCAUUGGGCGUAAAGGGCGCGUAGGCGGUUCCGUAAGUCAGAUGUGAAAACUCAGGGCUCAACCCGGAGACGCCAUCUGAUACUGCGGUGACUGGAGUCUGGUAGGGGAACACGGAAUUCCUGGUGUAGCGGUGAAAUGCGCAGAUAUCAGGAGGAACACCGAUGGCGAAGGCAGUGUUCUGGGCCAAUACUGACGCUGAGGAGCGAAAGCGUGGGGAGCAAACAGG